rnacentral:rRNA from 1 species
AUACGGAGGGUGCAAGCGUUACUCGGAAUCACUGGGCGUAAAGCGCGCGCAGGCGGGCUGAUAAGUUGGAUGUGAAAGCCUACGGCUCAACCGUAGAACUGCAUCCAAAACUGUCAGUCUAGAGUGUGGGAGAGGAAGAUGGAAUUAGUUGUGUAGGGGUAAAAUCCGUAGAGAUAACUAGGAAUACCAAAAGCGAAGGCAAUCUUCUGGAACACUUCUGACGCUGAGGCGCGAAGGCGUGGGGAGCAAACAGGAUUAGAAACCCUUGUAGUCC